GUGACUUUAAUCCAGUAAAAUCAGGGCUGUGAGAGCAGGAAGUGGAUGUGGAGAUUCACUGGUUCCAGACCUGGCCCAUCACUUGAUUACCUUGUCCUGGUGUAGAUGCUGGAUGAGGAAUUUCUGUGAGUAAGGCAGAACAUAUCCAUAGGAUGGGAAAAAGGGAUGGAGAAACAAUCUUCCUGCUGGCAGGUGUCACUGAGAGCUUCCUGUGGUACAUGGAACUGGCCCUUUGGAUGUGCAGCUCUCUUUACCCCCCAGUAAAUCCAGUCUUGAUCACCCAGGCAACAAACAGGGAACUUUGGAAUAUUCACAGAGAUGGUGCUACAGCAAUUCCAGAAACCACAGUGCGAUUAGCAGUUAGCAGAGGGAACUUUUCCACAGAAGCCUCCAAGAGAUUUCCAGCUGUAACAUUUUACCUUUGAAAAUAUAACCAAAAUUUUCAUUUUUAGGUCUCUGAGCAUUAUCUUCUAGUCUCAGCAGAAAAGCAGUGGUGUAAUUAACAGCUUCAUUAAUGCCAGAGUAAUUAUGAGCUACAGGAAUGGCUGUUGCAUCAGGAAUUCUUCUUGUAGAACUGCAGCAACUUUUUGAUUCUUCAGAACUCAGGAGAAACAUAAAGGGUUGUCCUUUCGAGGCAGACCAGAUCAAGGAGUGGUGCGUGCAGUACCUCAUCCCAGGAUAAAUCCAGGGAGGCUCUAUGACUCAGGAAUGACUCACUGCUCCUCCUCUGUUCCUUCCAGACUCUUGGGGGUGUGCUAAUUUAUUGUCAGUCUGUAUCUGCAGUCAAUUAUUCCCCCCAGCUCAGCUCUCCUGUCCAGAAGGAAUUCAGGCACAUUCUGCUCAUUGCUCACCUCUCCAGAGAGGCAAACAGCGUGCCUUGGUUCCCCUGUGCAGCACCACAAACAGCUUCACAAGCACGGAGCAGGGACCACUCCUGUGCCCAGGGCUGGGGAGAGCUGCGGCUGCUGCCAAGGAAAAGUCUUUGCAACUGCUGCCAACU